rnacentral:rRNA from 1 species
AUUGAACGCUGGCGGCAGGCCUAACACAUGCAAGUCGAGCGGAUGAAGGAAGCUUGCUUCCCGAUUCAGCGGCGGACGGGUGAGUAAUGCCUAGGAAUCUGCCUAUUAGUGGGGGAUAACUCGGGGAAACUCGGGCUAAUACCGCAUACGUCCUACGGGAGAAAGUGGGGGAUCUUCGGACCUCACGCUAAUAGAUGAGCCUAGGUCGGAUUAGCUAGUUGGUGAGGUAACGGCUCACCAAGGCGACGAUCCGUAGCUGGUCUGAGAGGAUGAUCAGCCACACUGGAACUGAGACACGGUCCAGACUCCUACGGGAGGCAGCAGUGGGGAAUAUUGGACAAUGGGCGAAAGCCUGAUCCAGCCAUGCCGCGUGUGUGAAGAAGGUCUUCGGAUUGUAAAGCACUUUAAGUUGGGAGGAAGGUCUGUAAGCUAAUAUCUUGCAGUCUUGACGUUACCAACAGAAUAAGCACCGGCUAACUCUGUGCCAGCCGCCGCCGUAACAC